CCUACGGGCGGCAGCAGUGGGGAAUAUUGGACAAUGGGCGAAAGCCUGAUCCAGCCAUGCCGCGUGUGUGAAGAAGGCCUUCGGGUUGUAAAGCACUUUCAGUGGGGAAGAAAUCCUUGUGGCUAAUACCCGCGAGGAAGGACAUCACCCACAGAAGAAGCACCGGCUAACUCCGUGCCAGCAGCCGCGGUAAUACGGAGGGUGCGAGCGUUAAUCGGAAUUACUGGGCGUAAAGCGCGCGUAGGCGGUUUGAUAAGCCGGUUGUGAAAGCCCCGGGCUCAACCUGGGAACGGCACCGGGACUGUCAGGCUAGAGUAUGGGAGAGGAAGGUAGAAUUCCCGGUGUAGCGGUGAAAUGCGUAGAGAUCGGGAGGAAUACCAGUGGCGAAGGCGGCCUUCUGGACUGACACUGACGCUGAGGUACGAAAGCGUGGGUAGCAAACAGGAUUAGAUACCCGAGUAGUC
rnacentral:rRNA from 1 species